rnacentral:lncRNA from 1 species
GCACCAACCUUUGGUGCUCCACAUUCUCAUAUGGUGAAUAAAUUCAUUAUGUAUGAUUUUUGAUGCAAGAGAGCCUUCACACAGAAGGACUCCUCCUCUUCUAUGUUUCAUAAAAAUCCCAUAAUAAAUUGGCAUGGAAACAUAAGGAAUCUGGAUAAGAACUUAAGGCAAUGCAUUAAGAUAAGAGCCUUCUUUAAGGACUCUCCAUCUUCACACACUAAUUAGGAGGGGGUGGCAUCUUUAUUUGGUGUGAACCUAGUGGGUGCAGAGGAGUCCUUCUCUACUUGAAGCUAUUUUAAGUUGGAUAAGAACCCAAUCAAAAUUGAUCCAAUCCCAU